AAUAUAAAAUAUAAAAAAAUACAAAAAAGUUGAAAGAAAAACCAAUGAUCAUUUACCCAGUAUUCCUACUUGCUACUCACCUUAAGAAAUACAACGGUCCUAGUAACUUUAACAAGCUUGUGGGCAUACUGUAUUUUCCUCUUUGCCCUUGAGAAGCAACCACUACCAUGACUUUUGUGUUAAUAAUUCCUUCACUUUUCUGUCUGGUUUUAUGGACACGUGUACUUAACAUGUUUUUGACGUGUAUUUAAUUGAAAUCAUACUUAGUAAUCUUGCUUGCUUUUCCCAACACUGAGAUUCAUCGAUGUUGAUAUAUUCCUGUUGGUGUAUUAGCUGUCGUUGAUUCUUUUUCACUGCUUUGUGGUAUUUUGUUGUCUGAAUAUACCAUAUGUAAUUCAACCAAAUAUUGGUGAACAUGGUGUUUCCACGCCUCGUUUAUCUAGUAGAGUUUUUGGAACCAGUCUCACAAUUGUUUCUAUUAACUGGUGAGUUAAAUCCAUUUCCUUUUAUUAUGAUUACUAACCUAUAUGGGUUUAUUUCUACCAUCUCAUUACAAGCUUUCUGUCCCACUUUGGCUUUUUUUUUACCCCACCCCCUAUUUCUUGCCUUCUUAUGGUUUGAUUUUACUAUCUUCUGGUCAGAAAGGGAGAAGCAGGU